rnacentral:rRNA from 1 species
AGCGAACGCUGGCGGCAGGCCUAACACAUGCAAGUCGAACGAACUCUUCGGAGUUAGUGGCGGACGGGUGAGUAACACGUGGGAACGUGCCUUUUGGUUCGGAAUAACUCAGGGAAACUUGUGCUAAUACCGAAUGUGCCCUUCGGGGGAAAGAUUUAUCGCCAUUAGAGCGGCCCGCGUCUGAUUAGCUAGUUGGUGAGGUAACGGCUCACCAAGGCGACGAUCAGUAGCUGGUCUGAGAGGAUGACCAGCCACACUGGGACUGAGACACGGCCCAGACUCCUACGGGAGGCAGCAGUGGGGAAUCUUGCGCAAUGGGCGAAAGCCUGACGCAGCCAUGCCGCGUGAAUGAUGAAGGUCUUAGGAUGGUAAAAUUCUUUCACCGGGGACGAUAAUGACGGGACCCGGAGAAGAAGCCCCGGCUAACUUCGU